rnacentral:rRNA from 1 species
AACGCUGGCGGCGUGCUUAACACAUGCAAGUCGAGGGGAAACGGCAGCUUAGCUUGCUAAGCUGGACGUCGACCGGCGCACGGGUGAGUAACGCGUAUCCAACCUGCCCCACGGUGAGGGAUAACCCGCGGAAACGCGGCCUAAUACCUCAUGGUCUCCGAGCUUGACAUCAACCUUGGAGUAAAGAUUCAUUGCCGUGGGAUGGGGAUGCGUCUGAUUAGCUAGUUGGUGGGGUAACGGCCUACCAAGGCGAUGAUCAGUAGCCGGUCUGAGAGGAUGAACGGCCACAUUGGGACUGAGACACGGCCCAGACUCCUACGGGAGGCAGCAGUGAGGAAUAUUGGUCAAUGGGCGAGAGCCUGAACCAGCCAAGUAGCGUGCAGGAUGACGGCCCUAUGGGUUGUAAACUGCUUUUAUAAGGGAAUAAAGUGAGCCUCGUGAGGCUUUUGCAUGUACCUUAUGAAUAAGGACCGGCUAAUUCCGUG